rnacentral:rRNA from 1 species
AGCUGGAUGGUAAGGUAACGGCUUACCAUGGCUACGAUGUCUAGGGGUUCUGAGAGGAAGGUCCCCCACACUGGAACUGAGACACGGUCCAGACUCCUACGGGAGGCAGCAGUGAGGAAUAUUGGACAAUGGAUGGAAAUCUGAUCCAGCCAUGCCGCGUGCAGGAAGACGGCCCUAUGGGUUGUAAACUGCUUUUGUAUGGGAGCAAUAAGGGCUACGUGUAGUCCGAUGAGAGUACCAUACGAAUAAGCACCGGCUAACUCCGUGCCAGCAGCCGCGGUAAUACGGAGGGUGCAAGCGUUAUCCGGAUUUAUUGGGUUUAAAGGGUGCGUAGGCGGUUUGAUAAGUCAGCGGUGAAAUAUUUCAGCUUAACUGGAAGGGUGCCGUUGAUACUGUCGAGCUUGAAUUUAGUUGCUGUGGGUGGAAUGUGUGGUGUAGCGGUGAAAUGCAUAGAUAUCACACAGAAUAUCGAUUGCGAAGGCAGCUCACAAAGCUAAUAUUGACGCUGAUGCACGAAAGUGUGGGGAUCAAACAGGAUUAGAUACCCUGGUAGUCCACACUGUAAACGAUGAUAACUCGCUGUCGGCGAUACACAGUCGGUGGCCAAGCGAAAGCGAUAAGUUAUCCACCUGGGGAGUACGACCGCAAGGUUGAAACUCAAAGGAAUUGACGGGGGCCCGCACAAGCGGAGGAACAUGUGGUUUAUUUCGAUGAUACGCGAGGAACCUUACCCGGGCUCGAACGGUGCAUGAAUAGAUCAGAGAUGGUUUAGUCCUUCGGGACAUGUAUCGAGUUGCUGCAUGUUG